AUACAGAGGGUGCGAGCGUUAAUCGGAAUUACUGGGCGUAAAGCGCGCGUAGGCGGCUUGGUCAGUCGGAUGUGAAAGCCCCGGGCUCAACCUGGGAAUGGCAUUCGAUACUGCCAGGCUAGAGUAUGGGAGAGGGAAGUGGAAUUUCCGGUGUAGCGGUGAAAUGCGUAGAUAUCUGAAAGAACACCAGUGGCGAAGGCGACUUCCUGGCCCAAUACUGACGCUGAGGUGCGAAAGCGUGGGGAGCGAACAGGAUUAGAAACCCGAGUAGUCC
rnacentral:rRNA from 1 species